rnacentral:rRNA from 1 species
UACGGAGGGUGCGAGCGUUGUCCGGAAUCACUGGGCGUAAAGGGCGCGUAGGUGGCGCGGGCAGUCAACGGUGAAAGUUCGGGGCUCAACCCUGAAUCGGCCGUCGAUACUCCCGGGCUGGAGCACUGUAGAGGCUAAUGGAAUUCCGGGUGGUAGCGGUGGGAAUGCGGUAGAGAUCCGGAAGAACACCGGUGGCGAAGGCGGUUAGCUGGGCAGUUGCUGGACACUGAGGCGCGACAGCGUGGGGAGCAAACAGGG